rnacentral:rRNA from 1 species
CCCGUGUUUAUUUUACCUUGUUGCUUCGGCGGGCCCGCCUUAACUGGCCGCCGGGGGGCUUACGCCCCCGGGCCCGCGCCCGCCGAAGACACCCUCGAACUCUGUCUGAAGAUUGUAGUCUGAGUGAAAAUAUAAAUUAUUUAAAACUUUCAACAACGGAUCUCUUGGUUCCGGCAUCGAUGAAGAACGCAGCGAAAUGCGAUACGUAAUGUGAAUUGCAAAUUCAGUGAAUCAUCGAGUCUUUGAACGCACAUUGCGCCCCCUGGUAUUCCGGGGGGCAUGCCUGUCCGAGCGUCAUUGCUGCCCUCAAGCACGGCUUGUGUGUUGGGCCCCGUCCUCCGAUCCCGGGGGACGGGCCCGAAAGGCAGCGGCGGCACCGCGUCCGGUCCUCGAGCGUAUGGGGCUUUGUCACCCGCUCUGUAGGCCCGGCCGGCGCUUGCCGAUCAACCCAAAUUUUUAUCCAGGUUGACCUCGGAUCAGGUAGGGAUACCCGCUGAACUUAAGCAUAUCA